ACUGGUCUCCGUCAUGAAUCCCGAUCUGCGCAAGGAGCGGGCCGCCGCCACCUUCAAUCCAGAGUUAAUCACGCACAUCUUGGAUGGUAGUCCGGAGAACACCCGGCGCCGUCGAGAAAUCGGUGAGCCUGGAGGGCCGGGCCUCUUAUACCGAACCAGGCGAAAGACCCCCGUGAAUGAGGAUUUGGGGCCUCUGGAGUUGAGGGGAAGCGGGGACCCCUACUUCGAUGGGCGUCCGGUGUCAGGAUUAGGAGGGGAACGUCCUCUGUUCUAAUCUGAUGGGAGUCAGGGAGGGUGAGUACCUGUUUCUCUUGAUGUCAUUUAACCCUCUUUCAGAGAACUUGAUUCUGAACGAUCCAGACUUCCAACAUGAGGACUAUAACUUCCUCACUCGAAGCCAGCGUUACGAGGUGGCUGUUAAGAAGAGUGCCACCAUGGUGAAGAAGAUGAGGGAAUUUGGCAUCGCAGACCCUGAAGAAAUCAUGUGGUUUAAAAAGUAGGUGUAUCUUAGCACAUUAGUGUAUGCCCAAACUACAGCUGCAGUCUGGGGAGGUCUUCUUACCGCGCAUGUCGUUUAAAGGCUUAAAUUGAAUACUUCAUGAUUCAAUUUUAUGUGUGAAAAAUAAUAUUACUUUUGCAUCUAGAUCUUUUAGUAGGAUAGCAUAGCAUAGUUGUAAAAAUGCUAAUAAUGAACGGUUGUGCCCAAAAUUGUUUUUUUUUUUAAUUUUAACAAACUUUAAGGGAUGGUGAGGUGGCUACCUGGCCUAAUCAUCUAAUUUCAAUUUGUAGAAAGAGAGUCACCUCCCUUAGAUUGUCCUCUGACCAUUUGCUAGAGGUGGCUGUUGUACCCCCACACACAAUAAGAUGAAACUUUAAUUUAUAAAGUUCUUUUGAACUGGGCCACGGUGACCCAUGCCUUUAAUCUCAGCACUUCGGAGGAGGCAGAGGCAGAGGCAGGCUGAUCUCUGAUUUUGAGACCAGCCUGGUCUGCAGAGCUAGUUCCUGUUCGUCAGCCAGGGUUACAUGGCGAAACUGUGGGAGAGGGUGGGCCAGAAGGCCGGGCAAACACUAGUGAAGCCCGCUGGGGGGAUGGGGGAGACAGAGAGGCAAAUAAUAAAAAAGCUUUUUGUUCCAAACAUCCCUAUGAAAGUUCUUUAAGUGCAAAGUGAACCUUCACUUUGUAAGAAAGCUUCCCGAUACCAAAGGUGUGGCGCAGUGGAACACAGAUUGCCUAGUGUCUCAAGGCUGUGGGUUUGAGUCUCAGCACUGAAGACAAAACAGAGAGGGGGUGGCGAAAUCCGCCUACUGAUUUUCUGAGGAACUGUAUUGCAAGACCAGACAUUGAACUAUUUUGGAACACUAUCAGAUUCUGUUUUUAUGUAAUGGGUAGUUUGAGUAUAAAGUAAUAGAAAGUGUGAGAGUCCGUGGAGAACCUGUCAGACCUCAGAAUGAAUCCGAUAUUCUCAGAACCACAUUCUAAGAACGUCGCAUUGUCGGAUGGAAUGCUGGCGUUUCCUACUGGCUGGCCGGUCGGGAAAACCCGCUUUAGUCUGCGGUUGAGGAAAGCCGCUUUUUCUCAGACGCUCAUCUGUUGCACUUUGCUUUUCUGUUAUACAUAAGGGGGCUGGAGACAUGGCUCAGUGGUUAAGAACACCGUCUGAUCUUCAGGGGACCCAGGUUCAAUUCCCAGCACCAUCACAACUGAUUGUAACUCCAGUUCCAGGUUAUCUGACACCCCUACAUAGGCGUACAUACAGGCAAAACACCAAUGCAUAUGGAAUAAAUAAGUCACUAAAAAGGACUUUUAAAAAUUACAUAUAAAGGUCCCCCUUCCCCUUUAGCCUCAAAGUCAUCCUCGCACAAGGUGUUUUGCUUGCGGUGGCUCUGCUGCUUCUCCUUUAUUUCCUUUAAAACUUCUGUUGGGUUUUUACAUAAUAGAGGAACUCGUCAGCGUGUUCAUUAAUAAAGAUAAAACUGGGAGGCUGGAGAUACACCUCGACAGUAUAGAGCCCUUACCUACCAUGCACAGCUAACUAGGUUUAGUCCCCAGCAUUUAUAAAUAAAU
rnacentral:lncRNA from 1 species